GGAAACCAGGAAAAUUUAAAAGCUUCUCGAGAAUAUUUAUUUGACGUGCUUGUAAAUAUCCUUGCAUUAUUUUACCUUUCCUUCGCAUUUAUCCGAAGCCAUGAUUCGUUUUUUACUCAUGCAAAAUCGGCAAGGGAAA
rnacentral:ribozyme from 1 species